rnacentral:rRNA from 1 species
AAUGAACGCUGGCGGCAGGCCUAACACAUGCAAGUCGAACGAAGUCUUCGGACUUAGUGGCGGACGGGUGAGUAACGCGUGGGAACAUACCCAAAGGUACGGAAUAGCCUCGGGAAACUGGGAGUAAUACCGUAUGUGCCCUUUCACUGUAGUGGUGGGAGGGGAAAGAUUUAUCGCCUUUGGAUUGGCCCGCGUUGGAUUAGGUAGUUGGUGGGGUAAUGGCCUACCAAGCCGACGAUCCAUAGCUGGUUUGAGAGGAUGAUCAGCCACACUGGGACUGAGACACGGCCCAGACUCCUACGGGAGGCAGCAGUGGGGAAUCUUAGACAAUGGGCGCAAGCCUGAUCUAGCCAUGCCGCGUGAUCGAUGAAGGCCUUAGGGUUGUAA